UAGAAGGUUUUUUUAAAAACCACAAAAGUUAAAGAUUGCUAUGAAG
rfam:Tyto alba contig101555, whole genome shotgun sequence.